UACAGAGGUGGCAAGCGUUGUUCGGAAUUACUGGGCGUAAAGGGCGCGUAGGCGGCCUUCUAAGUCAGACGUGAAAUCCCCCGGCUUAACCUGGGAACUGCGUCUGAUACGGGAGCUUGAGUAUGGGAGAGGGAUGUAGAAUUCCAGGUGUAGCGGUGAAAUGCGUAGAUAUCUGGAGGAAUACCGGUGGCGAAGGCGGCAUCCUGGACCAUAACUGACGCUGAGGCGCGAAAGCUAGGGGAGCAAACGGGG
rnacentral:rRNA from 1 species